rnacentral:rRNA from 1 species
GAACGGUAGCACAGAGAGCUUGCUCUCGGGUGACGAGUGGCGGACGGGUGAGUAAUGUCUGGGAAACUGCCUGAUGGAGGGGGAUAACUACUGGAAACGGUAGCUAAUACCGCAUAACGUCGCAAGACCAAAGAGGGGGACCUUCGGGCCUCUUGCCAUCAGAUGUGCCCAGAUGGGAUUAGCUAGUAGGUGGGGUAACGGCUCACCUAGGCGACGAUCCCUAGCUGGUCUGAGAGGAUGACCAGCCACACUGGAACUGAGACACGGUCCAGACUCCUACGGGAGGCAGCAGUGGGGAAUAUUGCACAAUGGGCGCAAGCCUGAUGCAGCCAUGCCGCGUGUAUGAAGAAGGCCUUCGGGUUGUAAAGUACUUUCAGCGGGGAGGAAGGUGUUGCGGUUAAUAACCGCAGCAAUUGACGUUACCCGCAGAAGAAGCACCGGCUAACUCCGUGCCAGCAGCCGCGGUAAUACGGAGGGUGCAAGCGUUAAUCGGAAUUACUGGGCGUAAAGCGCACGCAGGCGGUCUGUCAAGUCGGAUGUGAAAUCCCCGGGCUCAACCUGGGAGCUGCAUUCGAAACUGGCAGGCUAGAGUCUUGUAGAGGGGGGUAGAAUUCCAGGUGUAGCGGUGAAAUGCGUAGAGAUCUGGAGGAAUACCGGUGGCGAAGGCGGCCCCCUGGACAAAGACUGACGCUC